GGCCGGUUAGCUCAGUCGGUUGAGCGUGGUGCUGAUAACACGAAGCCCGCGGGUUUGAUCCCCACUCAGUCCC
rnacentral:tRNA from 1 species